GCUUUUGGUGACGCCACGCGUUCCGGAUUUGCGCGGGUUUCAAUGGCCGCUUGUUGAUGUGCGACGACACUGACUUAAAGAAGAAAAACAAUGCCUCCAAAGAAGAAAGUGAGAAAAAGAACAAUCAAUUCAGAUGGAAAUGCUGAAGACAAGGUCGACUCAUGUCCAAAACCAAGCCUCAAGAGGAAGGCUUCUUCGUCUGUGGAUGCUUCGAAGGAGUCGAGCACCGAGCAGUGUUGUCGCUGGCUCAUGAAAUCUGAACCCGAGAGCCGCUUUCAGAAAGGCAUUGAUGUCAAGUUUGGGAUUGAGGAUUUGAAGGCUUUGCCCAAUCAGACCAGUUGCUGGGACGGCAUCCGCAACUAUCAGGCACGGAACUUCAUGCGUCAAAUGAAAGAGGGGCAGUUGGCUUUCUUCUACCACAGCAACUGCAAGGAACCCGGAAUAGUAGGAAUAAUGAAAAUAGUGAAGGAAGCGUAUGUGGACCACACUCAGUUUGACAAGAAAGAUGUUCAUUUUGAUGCCAGCAGCAAACAAGAAAAUCCCAAAUGGAGCAUGGUGGAUGUGCAGUACCAAAGAAUGCUGAAGCGUUUUCUUCCUCUGGCUGAGCUCAAACAGUACCACUUGCAGCACAGAGCCAAGGGGGGCCCUCUGAAGGACGCCAUGCUCUUGACCAGGAUCAGGCUGUCGGUGCAGGCUCUCACCACUGCACAAUUCGACUUUAUUCUGAGCUUGGAGGACCAAGAACCGCUGUGACUGUGCUCCGUGAUGGGGGAACAUCGACCUUCCCAACAUGGCCCCCCACAUAGGCAUGUCGGUGAGCCGGGCUGCUACAGCGAGGUGGCUUAUAGUCUUCCUAUCUAUGGUCAGAACCGCUACACACAUUUCCAGCUGUGUUAACGCUAAUGACCAGGAAUCCAGUGUAAUGCCCCAGAGGUUGACAGUGGUCGACCAUCCAUCCAUCGAGGCAGGCAGGCAGGUCAUUCCCUGAGAGUGCUGAACAUGACAAGUGGUGACUCAAAUGUGAAUGACUGGGCAAAGUCCAAAAGUGACUUUGAGGCCUCGUCAUGCCCUUGUGCCUAUGCAUAGCGUGUGUCACUCAAGUCUGCCAGUUCCCCAAAGGUUUUAGACGUGCUUGUUACGCACUGCAUCUCGUCACAUCCACUCCAUCUAUAUGGUGUAUACACAUGCAGUAGAGACCUGAUUUAUGUCAUGAAAACCUGAAUCAGAGCGCAUUAAAUAACAUGACUGAUCAAUCUGGGUUUGUGUUGUGUUGAUACAUAACAUUCAAUUUAAGAACAAAAAAUAAAAUAAUAAAUAAAUAAAUGUCCCUAAAAUUGAAUUUGAAUAGCAUACACCCAUAAAUUACACAAAAGUAUUUAACUCACGAAUAUACGAAAUAUGAAUAUGAUAAACCAUGAAUAUAGUAUUUCACAAAGAAAUUUGGAGGGGAGAAAUAUAUCAAUAUAUCAUUAGAAAAUAUACAAAUUCUGAAUAAUAUAAACCAGCAAUAUAUUUAAAAUAUAUUUUA